rnacentral:rRNA from 1 species
AGUGAACGCUGGCGGUAGGCCUAACACAUGCAAGUCGAACGGCAGCACAGUAAGAGCUUGCUCUUACGGGUGGCGAGUGGCGGACGGGUGAGGAAUACAUCGGAAUCUACUUUUUCGUGGGGGAUAACGUAGGGAAACUUACGCUAAUACCGCAUACGACCUACGGGUGAAAGCAGGGGAUCUUCGGACCUUGCGCGAUUGAAUGAGACGAUGUCGGAUUAGCUAGUUGGCGGGGUAACGGCCCACCAAGGCGACGAUCCGUAGCUGGUCUGAGAGGAUGAUCAGCCACACUGGAACUGAGACACGGUCCAGACUCCUACGGGAGGCAGCAGUGGGGAAUAUUGGACAAUGGGCGAAAGCCUGAUCCAGCCAUACCGCGUGGGUGAAGAAGGUCUUCGGGUUGUAAAGCCCUUUUGUUGGGAAAGAAAAGCAGCAGGUUAAUACCCCGCUGUUCUGACGGUACCCAAAGAAUAAGCACCGGCUAACUUCGUG